rnacentral:lncRNA from 1 species
AAAGCUGAAAGCGUGCGAGGGGGGUGGGGUGGAAAUAGCGGCUGCUUCUUUUCCAAGGACUUAUUUAAUGGGGAUGUGUUCAAGGCAAGACCGAAUUCAGAAGGAUAUCGACGUCGUGAUCCAGAAGUCCAGAGCUGAGGACUGCCUGUUUGCAGAUUUCAGAUACUCAGACUCCACCUUUACUUUUACCUAUGUUGGCGGCCCCAGAAG